ACAAACUUUUUUUUUCACUUCUUCUUCCUCACCAAAAAACAUCUUCCAUCGUUUUGAACGACCAUCUUUCAUUCUCUCGACCUCAAAUCCCUAAAUUAGAGUUUUGAUUCUCGAAUUACACCGUAUAAUCAAAUUCACUACUUCAUUAAUCCACCAAAUCUAUUUUCUGUAAAGUAUUAAAUCCGAAAAGGAGAGAAGCUGCAAUUAGUUAAAUCUAUUUGGUGUUUAUCAGUCGGAGAAUUCAGUUUUGACCCAUUAGUUUAUCGAACGGACUAACUAAUUCAAUCGCCUUGGAUAUACAAAUUGAGAAGUUUUGAAAACAGUACAGAAGAUUAUAACAAAAAAAAACAGUUAAAUUAAUGUGGCAAGUGAGUUCUUGGGAAGCUAUAGUUCUUGGAAAAUCUGGAAUAAACAGACUCUCUACAGUCAACUCUUUCAAUGGAAGCACUAUAAAAAGGCACGAGAGCGGCUGCCAUUGAAGAAGGCUUGAAAGAAUACAGAACGGAGAAAGUUAAGAAGCCCAUAAUAGUCCAUUAUUCGUUUGACGGGAGCCAUUAGUAGGUCCGUCGAGAAAGUGAUAAUUCUGUUACAAUAUCCGAUUAAUAAUUGCCGGGUUAUUUCUAAUUUAAAACCCGACCCAUAAUAUUGAAAUGUCUCAUUUAACCUUAAUGACUUGACUUCAGUCUAAUUUCGAGAGGGGCAUUUUCGUCUGAAAUGCAAGUUGUACUUCUCUUUUACUAUAAUAAAGAUAAAAGUACAGAAUGGAUUCCUAGCUUUUAACA